rnacentral:rRNA from 1 species
AUUGAACGCUGGCGGCAUGCCUUACACAUGCAAGUCGAACGGCAGCACGGACUUCGGUCUGGUGGCGAGUGGCGAACGGGUGAGUAAUGUAUCGGAACGUACCUUUCAGUGGGGGGAUAACGUAGCGAAAGUUACGCUAAUACCGCAUAUUCUGUGAGCAGGAAAGCAGGGGAUCGCAAGACCUUGCGCUGAUUGAGCGGCCGAUAUCAGAUUAGCUAGUUGGUGGGGUAAAGGCCUACCAAGGCUACGAUCUGUAGCGGGUCUGAGAGGAUGAUCCGCCACACUGGAACUGAGACACGGUCCAGACUCCUACGGGAGGCAGCAGUGGGGAAUUUUGGACAAUGGGCGCAAGCCUGAUCCAGCCAUUCCGCGUGAGUGAAGAAGGCCUUC